ensembl:lncRNA
AUGCUUCCAAGGCCGUGCCCAGCUGUCCGUGGCUCCCCCAGGACGGGGCCGGGUCUGACCGUCCCCCAUCCCAGACGCACCGUCCGGGGAGGCGAGGUGGGCAAGCCCGCAGGAGGCCUUGUCCGGGGUCGAUCUGGCUCGGCUCCUCCCCUGGGGCACCGGCUGUUAGGAUUCAAUGAGCGGAUCCCGUGUGCCCUGCGUGUGCUCACUACGUGGCCAGUUGGCCCCUUGGCCGGGGUCUGGGAACGUGCCUUGUGGCCCCGGGCAGCAGGAGGUCCCAUUUGCGGUGUCCAUGCUGCGCACCUGUCCCAGGUGAGUCGCCCGGACCGUGAGGGCCCCACGCAGGGCCCGUGUGAGUCUGUCCUUCCUCUGCUCGUGUCCAGAGACGGAGACGCCUUCGGAGGGAAGCGCAGCAGUUCCCCAGCGGCCGCGGCCGAGCUCGGGGGGCCGCUGGCCCAGCGCGGGGCGAACACUCCACAUCGCCUCCCGCGGGGGGCCUGUCCUGACCGCCCGGCUCUCCCUGGAGGACGUGGCCCAACCUGGAACGAUCUCUGCUGGCCCGUGCAUGGUGUGCUCUGUCCUCUGCCAAAACUGUCCUGCUCUGAACAAUGGGACCUACCCCAUGGCAGCCUCCAAAUCCGUCACCCAGGAACAAGAGACAUGGGGCUCUUUCAAGGAUCUCCCGGGUGCUCUGUGUUGUCCGUGGGGUCACUGAGGUCCCGCCUGGGACCCCAAGUUCCAUCAUGCAAAACACGUUGAGCAAAGCACACACACACAGUCCGUGAAGAGGCCACAGGAUGCAGACGGGGGAGUUUGGGCGCAAGGCUGGGCCUGGGUCGUCAGGGCACCCAAGACAAGAAGACCCCAGGCCGCAGGUCUGUUCUCUGUAAAAUCCUGAGCCGCGGCCGCCCAAGGACCCCCACCCACCCAGACGGAGAGGCGUGGACUGGGAGUCAGGGGAGAGGAAACAGGACAAAGUGCUGGCUCAGCACCACAGAAGGCAGACGGGUCUCCCCGCAGCAGCCUCUGACCAACAAAAAAUUGACGGCAACGAAUGACCAUUAACGGCGCCCGAAUGAAUCAACGGCACUUACGGACACGAGGCCAGACGGGCCGAUAGUACGUGCACAGACAAGUGUGGCUGUCGUGGGUGACACGUGCACGCAGCCAGCCCCACUCAGGUGCACAACACACACCCCUGCCCCCACCGCAGUCACAAAAAACUUUAUUGCUUCCAUGCAUCAAAAGCCGUCUAGAAAAAUCCUUUGAGGAGGUGGCAGGGACACCUGCCUCCCCUAGAAUAGUGGCCCCCUUGGGGCCCAAGAGAGGCUUUCAGAAUGGGGUGCCGGUUGGGGGCACUUCAGUCCCAUUGCACUUGCUUUACAAGUACAUGGAGGGUGGGGGAGAGACAGAGGUGGUGGAGGUAAAGGGGCGAGAUGAUCGAGACCUGGAUGGGGAGAGAUGACGGAGAGACAGAGAUGAGAGAGACGGAGAGAUUAAAGCCUCGGAAAGCUCAUGCAGAACAGUGUGUGACUCUGACUGGUGCAGAUAUUGGCAAUUGUCGUGCUUCUUGGAAUUUUCCCGUAUUUUUAGUUCCAUAAACAAACAAAAACUUUGCAAGAGUUACCAGAGAAGAUACCAAGUGCAAUAAAGUCUUGAAGGACGAGGGACA